UGGGGAAUUUUGGACAAUGGGCGAAAGCCUGAUCCAGCAAUGCCGCGUGUGUGAAGAAGGCCUUCGGGUUGUAAAGCACUUUUGUCCGGAAAGAAAUCCUUGGCUCUAAUACAGUCGGGGGAUGACGGUACCGGAAGAAUAAGCACCGGCUAACUACGUGCCAGCAGCCGCGGUAAUACGUAGGGUGCAAGCGUUAAUCGGAAUUACUGGGCGUAAAGCGUGCGCAGGCGGUUUGCUAAGACCGAUGUGAAAUCCCCGGGCUCAACCUGGGAACUGCAUUGGUGACUGGCAGGCUAGAGUAUGGCAGAGGGGGGUAGAAUUCCACGUNUAGCAGUGAAAUGCGUAGAGAUGUGGAGGAAUACCGAUGGCGAAGGCAGCCCCCUGGGCAAUACUGACGCUCAUGCACGAAAGCGUGGGGAGCAAACAGGAUUAGAUAACCUGGUAGUCCACGCCCUAAACGAUGUCAACUAGUUGUUGGGGAUUCAUUCCUUAGUAACGUAGCUAACGCGUGAAGUUGACCGCCUGGGGAGUACGUCGCAAGAUUAAAACUCAAUGAAUUGACGGGGUCAUAGCUGUUUCCU
rnacentral:rRNA from 1 species